UAUCCGUAGGUGAACCUGCGGAAGGAUCAUUAUUGUAUAACCGAGGUGCGAGGGCUGUCGCUGACCCGAAAGGUCGUGCACGCCCGAGUGCCCUCACACACAUCCAUCUCACCCCUAUUUGCACCACCGCGUGGGUCCCCCUUUGGCUUGUUCGGAGGGGGGCUUACGUUUUCACACAAACUUUGUAUGCAGUGUAGAAUGUAUUUUUUGUUUUUGCGAUCACGCAAUCAAUACAACUUUCAACAACGGAUCUCUUGGCUCUC
rnacentral:misc_RNA from 1 species